rnacentral:rRNA from 1 species
CCGUUAAUUGAUUAUGACGUGCUUGCACUGAAUGAGAUUUUAACACGAAGUGAGUGGCGGACGGGUGAGUAACACGUGGGUAACCUGCCCAGAAGCAGGGGAUAACACCUGGAAACAGAUGCUAAUACCGUAUAACAGAGAAAACCGCCUGGUUUUCUUUUAAAAGAUGGCUCUGCUAUCACUUCUGGAUGGACCCGCGGCGCAUUAGCUAGUUGGUGAGGUAACGGCUCACCAAGGCGAUGAUGCGUAGCCGACCUGAGAGGGUAAUCGGCCACAUUGGGACUGAGACACGGCCCAGACUCCUACGGGAGGCAGCAGUAGGGAAUCUUCCACAAUGGACGCAAGUCUGAUGGAGCAACGCCGCGUGAGUGAAGAAGGGUUUCGGCUCGUAAAGCUCUGUUGUUAAAGAAGAACGUGGGUGAGAGUAACUGUUCACCCAGUGACGGUAUUUAACCAGAAAGCCACGGCUAACUACGUGCCAGCAGCCGCGGUAAUACGUAGGUGGCAAGCGUUAUCCGGAUUUAUUGGGCGUAAAGCGAGCGCAGGCGGUCUUUUAAGUCUAAUGUGAAAGCCUUCGGCUCAACCGAAGAAGUGCAUUGGAAACUGGGAGACUUGAGUGCAGAAGAGGACAGUGGAACUCCAUGUGUAGCGGUGAAAUGCGUAGAUAUAUGGAAGAACACCAGUGGCGAAGGCGGCUGUCUGGUCUGUAACUGACGCUGAGGCUCGAAAGCAUGGGUAGCGAACAGGAUUAGAUACCCUGGUAGUCCAUGCCGUAAACGAUGAUUACUAAGUGUUGGAGGGUUUCCGCCCUUCAGUGCUGCAGCUAACGCAUUAAGUAAUCCGCCUGGGGAGUACGACCGCAAGGUUGAAACUCAAAAGAAUUGACGGGGGCCCGCACAAGCGGUGGAGCAUGUGGUUUAAUUCGAAGCUACGCGAAGAACCUUACCAGGUCUUGACAUCUUCUGCCAACCUAAGAGAUUAGGCGUUCCCUUCGGGGACAGAAUGACAGGUGGUGCAUGGUUGUCGUCAGCUCGUGUCGUGAGAUGUUGGGUUAAGUCCCGCAACGAGCGCAACCCUUAUUACUAGUUGCCAGCAUUCAGUUGGGCACUCUAGUGAGACUGCCGGUGACAAACCGGAGGAAGGUGGGGACGACGUCAAAUCAUCAUGCCCCUUAUGACCUGGGCUACACACGUGCUACAAUGGAUGGUACAACGAGUCGCGAAACCGCGAGGUUUAGCUAAUCUCUUAAAACCAUUCUCAGUUCGGACUGUAGGCUGCAACUCGCCUACACGAAGUCGGAAUCGCUAGUAAUCGCGGAUCAGCAUGCCGCGGUGAAUACGUUCCCGGGCCUUGUACACACCGCCCGUCACACCAUGAGAGUUUGUAACACCCAAAGCCGGU